AGACGAACGCUGGCGGCGUGCUUAACACAUGCAAGUCGAACGAUGAAGCCCAGCUUGCUGGGUGGAUUAGUGGCGAACGGGUGAGUAACACGUGGGUGAUCUGCCCUGCACUUCGGGAUAAGCCUGGGAAACUGGGUCUAAUACCGGAUAGGACCUCGGGAUGCAUGUUCCGGGGUGGAAAGGUUUUCCGGUGCAGGAUGGGCCCGCGGCCUAUCAGCUUGUUGGUGGGGUAACGGCCCACCAAGGCGACGACGGGUAGCCGGCCUGAGAGGGCGACCGGCCACACUGGGACUGAGACACGGCCCAGACUCCUACGGGAGGCAGCAGUGGGGAAUAUUGCACAAUGGGCGCAAGCCUGAUGCAGCGACGCCGCGUGAGGGAUGACGGCCUUCGGGUUGUAAACCUCUUUCAGUACCGACGAAGCGCAAGUGACGGUAGGUACAGAAGAAGCACCGGCCAACUACGUGCCAGCAGCCGCGGUAAUACGUAGGGUGCGAGCGUUGUCCGGAAUUACUGGGCGUAAAGAGCUCGUAGGCGGUUUGUCGCGUCGUCUGUGAAAACCCGCAGCUCAACUGCGGGCUUGCAGGCGAUACGGGCAGACUUGAGUACUGCAGGGGAGACUGGAAUUCCUGGUGUAGCGGUGAAAUGCGCAGAUAUCAGGAGGAACACCGGUGGCGAAGGCGGGUCUCUGGGCAGUAACUGACGCUGAGGAGCGAAAGCGUGGGUAGCGAACAGGAUUAGAUACCCUGGUAGUCCACGCCGUAAACGGUGGGCGCUAGGUGUGGGUUUCCUUCCACGGGAUCCGUGCCGUAGCUAACGCAUUAAGCG
rnacentral:rRNA from 1 species